GUCACUCUGUACGGAUGCGGCCCAUGGCUGCUUGCAGGGGGCAGGGAGCGCGUGUUCUGCACUCUCAGCAGAUUGGAAGGACUGAGUCCAAGCAGGUGUAUUAAUAGAAGCUGGGCUCUAGAGGCUAGGGUGGUUUAUCAUAUGCCUCUAAACCCUGGAAACAACAGGAAUCUCGUGCAGGGGAAGCAGCAGGAGAAAGACUGCUGAGCCAGUCAAUAUCUGAAAACGCAAACAGCAGCCACUGGACGUGAGGGACAGACUGGGGGACUUACACCAGAAGGGGGUUUUGGAUCAGCAAGUGUUUGGAGUGAGUGAAAUCGAUCUCAAACCACCACGACCCUGCAGGCCCCCUAUGGGAUCCCCGUGGGACAGAAAAGGCUCUCCACUGUAGACGGAGCUGGAGAGAAACCAUGCUCGUUUCAAGAGCAAAGCAGAGGGACAGUGGAGCAGCCCAUUGGGCACAGAAAGAGUUCCCCAGUCACAGAGCCCGCUUGGAGCGAAUUAGAAAGCAAGCAGGCACCAUCUGAAUCAAGCCACCUGCGUUGGCCUCUUAACACCAGAGGGACACGAGCAAUUAUUAACUUGCCAAUAAUCAGACACAUCAUGACCCCAGGGCCUAAAACUCCGUUUGCUGUCAUUGUUGAAGAGGCCAUCGGCGGGGGCAGGGUGAAGCUGUUCUGGUGUAAGUGGCACAUGCCAUUACUGUACAGAUGGACUGCGGUUUUCCAUAGCUGACACGAUGACUCAGACGCCGAAGUCCAGGCUGGUGACUAGGAAGGACAAACAGGUGUCUGGGGCGGAGCCAGCUGCCCCACAAGUGAAGACAGGAAUUUUCACCUAGGCAGCAUUUUUCAUCUGAGAAUCUCAAAGCUUUUCCUGGAAGACCCAAUGGAUGGAGAAUUUGACAGAGGACUACAUCACAAGCACCAAGGACGUGAAACUUGAGCGCUGAGAAGUGAUUUGCAUUCAGCCCACUGAAAACGUUGGUUUUGCGCAACAGCAAUUUAACAUGAAAGCCUAAC